GUCUCUGUCUAGCUCACCCAGAGUGUCAUGUCAACCAGCACCAGGGGCGCUGCACUGCAGCUGACCCUCAUCUCCUCUCAAUAUAUAUGUGUGUUGUCUGGGGGUGGGAGGGUGGGUUGAGAGGUAAGCUGUCUCUUAACAGCUGACAACAUAUGUUUUGGGAUUACAGUGUGGUCAAAGGUCACUGUGUGUAAGUGGAAGCUGUGUCUGGGGGCCGUGUCUGUCUGCAGUUUGAGAUGUACUUUGUGGAUCCAGGAGAUCCAGGGGAGGUCGGUAACCAGGAGAUCCAGGGGCGGUUGGUAACCAGGAGAUCCAGGGGAGGUUGGUAACCAGGAGAUCCAGGGGAGGUUGGUAACCAAGAGAUCCAGGGGAGGUUGGUAACCAGGAGAUCCAGGGGAGGUUGGUAUCCUGGGGAUCCAGGGGAGGUUGGUAUCUAGGAGAUCCAGGGGCGGUUGGUAUCUAGGAGAUCCAGGGGAGGUUGGUAUCUAGGAGAUCCAGGGGAGGUUGGUAUCCUGGCGAGACUCACUGUGUUUUCCACUAGCUGGCUUAAUGAAUGUAAUACAAUAUGAACAGACUUUUUUUUUUUUAACUAGGCAAGCCAGUUAAGAACAAAUACUUAUUUACAAUGACGCCUACCAAGGGGCCAGAGGCCUCCUGCAGGGACGGGAGCUGGGAUUAAAAAUACAAAUGGAGGACAAAACACACAUCACAACAAGAGAGACAUCCCAACCCUACAUAAAGAGAGACACCACGACACUACAUAAAGAGAGACACCACAACACUACAUAAAGAGAGACACCACAACACUACAUAAAGAGAGACAUCACUACACUACAUAAAGAGAGACACCACAACACUACGUAAAGAGAGACACCACUACACUACAUAAAGAGAGACACCACAACACUACAUAAAGAGAGACACCACAACACUACAUAAAGAGAGACACCACAACACUACGUAAAGAGAGACAUCACUACACUACAUAAAGAGAGACACCACAACACUACGUAAAGAGAGACACCACAACACUACGUAAAGAGAGACACCACUACACUACAUAAAGAGACACCACUACACUACAUAAAGAGAGACACCACAACACUACAUAAAGAGAGACACCACAACACUACAUAAAGAGAGACACCACAACACUACAUAAAGAGAGACAC
ensembl:lncRNA